GCAUCAGUAGUUUAGUGGUAAAAUCUGUCUUUGCCAUCGACGGGCCCUGCGUUCGAUUUGCGGCUGAUGCA